CGAACGCUGGCGGCAGGCUUAACACAUGCAAGUCGAACGCCCCGCAAGGGGAGUGGCAGACGGGUGAGUAACACGUGGGAACAUGCCCAAAGGUACGGAAUAUUCUCGGGAAACUGGGAGCAAUACCGUAUGUGCCCGAAAGGGGUAAGAUUUAUCGCCUUUGGAUUGGCCCGCGUUGGAUUAGCUAGUUGGUGGGGUAAAAGCCUACCAAGGCGACGAUCCAUAGCUGGUCUGAGAGGACGACCAGCCACACUGGGACUGAGACACGGCCCAGACUCCUACGGGAGGCAGCAGUGGGGAAUCUUGGACAAUGGGCGCAAGCCUGAUCCAGCCAUGCCGCGUGAGUGAUGAAGGCCCUAGGGUUGUAAAACUCUUUCGUGGGGGACGAUAAUGACGGUACCCCAAGAAGAAGCUCCGGCUAACUUCGUGCCAGCAGCCGCGGUAAUACGAAGGGGGCUAGCGUUGUUCGGAUUUACUGGGCGUAAAGCGCGUGUAGGCGGACUGGAAAGUUGGGGGUGAAAUCCCCGGGCUUAACCUGGGAAUGGCAUUUUGAACUGGCAGUCUAGAGUGUGUCAGAGGGGGGUGGAAUUCCACGUGUAGCAGUGAAAUGCGUAGAGAUGUG
rnacentral:rRNA from 1 species